UCUACCUCUUCAUUAAAGUCAAUCUUGCACCUUGCCUUGAGUCAAAGACUUCAAGAGAUGGGAAAGCCAUCGUCUCGCUCCAGCUACUCCUUCCCAUUAUUAAGCACCCUAGUAAAUAAAUGAGGAAAAAAAAAUGCACCUUUCCCAGAUUUUACAUUAUCUGGCUGCCUCCCCCUCUUGUUAUACACAGACUUUCAUCAUUUAUGGUCAAAACCAUUUCAGAGAACAAGGAGAGCGAUCUGCUGCUUUCCAGCCCUCUUGUCCCACCUGCCUACACACUGUCACUGAAGGGUCACCUCACCAGAUGCUUCAAGGCACUAGUAUGGCAGCUUGUGGGGAAUCUUGGCUGGGCCAGGACCCCUGGUAUAGAACAAGAAACUGGCUGAGAAUGGAGGCCCUGGUCCUGACAAUGUACUGAUGCAUCCUGAGAGAGCAGAGGAGCAGCAGGAGAGAGCUGUCCCGUGGGAACGGGGAACACUGUCUCAUGAGAAGGAGGACUUGUUUUGAACAGAGUGACUGAGAAAAAUAUAAACAACAAAGGAAAACAGGGACAGGUGCACAGAAGUGUUGUGAGAAAGUAGGACUGAGAAAGUCCAGAGAAAGUCCAGCUAAAAUCUACCUAUUAGCUGUGAGAAUUGUAGUUUGUGCAUUAAAGCUGACCUAUCUGUGUGAUAUACGUGUACAAAAAGAACUGUAUUUAAGAGGCUGUAAAUCACAGCUCGUGGCUGCUGCUGCUUCCUUAUUCUUUCCAAUAAACUUUCUUGCUGAAUAUUA